rnacentral:rRNA from 1 species
AGUGAACGCUGGCGGUAGGCCUAACACAUGCAAGUCGAACGGCAGCACAGUAAGAGCUUGCUCCUACGGGUGGCGAGUGGCGGACGGGUGAGGAAUACAUCGGAAUCUACUUUUUCGUGGGGGAUAACGUAGGGAAACUUACGCUAAUACCGCAUACGACCUACGGGUGAAAGCAGGGGAUCUUCGGACCUUGCGCGAUUGAAUGAGCCGAUGUCGGAUUAGCUAGUUGGCGGGGUAAAGGCCCACCAAGGCGACGAUCCGUAGCUGGUCUGAGAGGAUGAUCAGCGACACGGGAACUGAGACACGGUCCAGACUCCUACGGGAGGCAGCAGUGGGGAAUAUUGGACAAUGGGCGCAAGCCUGAUCCAGCCAUACCGCGUGGGUGAAGAAGGCCUUCGGGUUGUAAAGCCCUUUUGUUGGGAAAGAAAAGCAGCAGGUUAAUACCCCGCUGUUCUGACGGUACCCAAAGAAUAAGCACCGGCUAACUUCGUG